AUGAACGAAGCUCGGAGCUCUGAUCCAUUGGAUCCGCUGCAGGGUUUCACAGGCCUCUCCCUCUUCCACCAGAGCAAAGGCCAUCCCAGACAGUUCAAUUUCCAUUCCCUUCGAUUUUGACCUCAACCUUCAAGCCAUCCGUUUCCAAUUCAACUCCACGGCCUCACAAGUUAAACUUAUAGAUCAGGUGAAAAACAGUUUAAGUGAUACUUCGAAAUUCUGAAGUCUGGUAUUCCACAAGCUAAACAGAAUAGUGAAGUUGUUCCUGAAAAGGCUGAUCAACCUAAUAUGUGUUCACUACCACCUUUUGACAUCAGUCGGCAUGAGAAUGCUAGAAAAGGAAAAGAGAAUUUGAGGGGUGGUGCUGCGUUGGAUGCUGAUCAGCAAGCCAUCCAUAUCCGACUCAAUUCCAUGGCCGCACAACAUAGUCCAAGUAAACUUAAAGAUCAAGUGGAAAACAUUACAAGUGUUACUUCAGAAAUUGUGGAGCCUGGUAAUCAACAGGCAUUGAAACAGAAAAAUAAAGUUGUUCCUGAAAAGGCUGCGAAAAGUCCCCGACAGAGAAGACCAGCCUUGGGUCUUAAACGUGCUCGGUUUUCUAUGAAGCCUGAUUCCAGUCAACCUAAUACGAAUUUGCUAACACCUUUCAAUCCCAAAAAUUAUAAAGACCCAGAGGAAUUGUUCAAGGAACAUGAAAAAUAUGAGAAUGCUAAAAAGGAAUUAGAAAAGCUGAAGGGUGGUGCUAUGUUUGAUGCAUACAAGCACAAUCCAUCCCCAAUUAAACGAACCUGUCGACCAUCGAUUAUGAGAAAGCGGGCUAAGCACAAGCAUUCCUAUCCGCUGAUGGAUUUUGAAAGUAGUGAGAAUGGUAGUCCACUGAACCAUUGCUCACAAGUAGAACCUAAUGAAAAUGUUACAUGGGAGGAGAUGGAUUUAGCUGGUUCAUUAGCUGAGGAAGUGAACGAUGGAAGUUUUGAUGAACUGCUGUCUCUAAAUACUGAAUGUCUAGAAGAUGAUGAGGCAGUCACUCAUGUACAGAAGUGUUUGAGGAUGAAACCAAUUGAACCAGAGAAAUCAGACCUCCCAGAAUUCCAAAGUAUGACAAACAUAGAUAAUUUGGUAAAAGGGUUAAUCAGUUCAACAGGUGUGGAACAUAGAAAGCGGGCAGAAGGGUCUGUUCUUUUUGCAUCUCCAACAUCACCAAAAAGCCUUUCUGCUUCGGUUCUGGAUUUGCAUAAGAGAAUUUUACAUUCAAGUCAAUCAAGCGAUCCAUUUUCAGCUCAUGAUAUUGAUCAGUUGCCAGUGACAAAUCCUUCUUCGGUUGAGAACUGUGACAAACAAUCUGAGCUGGUUGACAUGGGAGAGUGGAUUACUAUUUCUAAUGAGUUGAAGUCACAUUUAAUUGAACCAAGUGACAAUUUUGAAGUUGCCGAGAUAGGUCCACCUGACAUGGAUUUUGAAGAAUUCAGUCAUGCAUCAAAAAGAUCUGCGAGUGAAGAUUCAAGAAAACAUGAUGCUAGAAUUGAGUUUGGCUCAAGUGGAUCUCACGUUGACAUUGAGGAUAACAUUGGAGGCAGUAACAUGCAUAACAGGGUUAUAAAUGAUACAUCAAGUUGCCCUAAUGCUGAUACAGAUGCUUGGGACAAUGGGGACAAUGAUGGGGAUGAGAUACUGGUCGAAAACGAGCAUGAGGAAGCAGUGGCUAGUGCAGAGCCUGAACUUUAUGUGGCAGACUCAACUUUGGGAAAGGCGAGCAGCACUCUGAAUGACAAUACACACCCUGAUGCUGAUACAGAUAAUUUGGACAGUGGGGCUAAUGAUGGAGACAUGAUACAGGUGGAAGACAAACAUGAGGAAGCAGUGGCUAGUGAGGAGCGUGAACUUAACGUGGCAGACUCAACUUUGGAGCUGAACUCACGCCCACAGAGAAGGCGGAAGAGUAGGGAACUUUCUAGAAGGAAAAGUCUAGCAGGGGCUGGUACAACAUGGCAAUCAGGUGUUAGGCGAAGCACGAGGAUCAAGACAAGACCUUUGGAGUAUUGGAAAGGGGAGCGGCUGUUAUAUGGACGUAUACACGAUAGUUUGGUAACAGUGAUCGGGAUUAAGUACGCCUCUCCAGAAAAGGAUAACGGAAGAGGUCCUCUGAAGGUGAAGUCAUUCGUAUCUGAUGAAUACAAAGAGCUCGUUGAGCUGGCAGCUUUGCAUUGACAUGGCUAAUCACGUAACAAUACAAGAUUUGAGAUAUGUAAUGGCGUUUCUUGUUCGUUUCAUCCCUACGAACAUUUUUUCGUUUUAAUAAAUGUUCGUCGAAGUAACCAGUGCUGCCUGUUGUAAAAACUCACUCUCCAUGAUGAUCAGCAUAUGAAAGGUGGUUCUCUCA